rnacentral:rRNA from 1 species
GACAGAGGGUGCAAACGUUGUUCGGAAUUACUGGGCAUAAAGAGCACGUAGGCGGUUCGGCAAGUCGUGCGUGAAAUCCCCCGGCUCAACCGGGGAACGGCGCACGAUACUGCCGAGCUCGAGGUCGGUAGGGGUGAGUGGAACUCCAGGUGGAGCGGUGAAAUGCGUAGAUAUCUGGAGGAACACCGGUGGCGAAAGCGGCUCACUGGACCGAAACUAACGCUGAGGUGCGAAAGCUAGGGGAGCAAACGGG